CCUAACACAUGCAAGUCGAGCGGUCCUUCGGGACAGCGGCGAACGGGUUAGUAACGCGUGGGAACGUGCCCUUUAGUACGGAAUAGCCAUUGGAAACGAUGAUUAAUACCGUAUACGCCCCAAGGGGGAAAGAUUUAUCGCUAAAGGAUCGGCCCGCGUUAGAUUAGGUAGUUGGUAGGGUAAUGGCCUACCAAGCCGACGAUCUAUAGCUGGUUUGAGAGGAUGAUCAGCAACACUGGGACUGAGACACGGCCCAGACUUCUACGGAAGGCAGCAGUAGGGAAUCUUGGACAAUGGGCGAAAGCCUGAUCCAGCCAUGCCGCGUGAGUGAUGAAGGCCCUAGGGUUGUAAAGCUCUUUCGCCAGGGAAGAUAAUGACGGUACCUGGUAAAGAAACCCCGGCUAACUCCGUGCCAGCAGCCGCGGUAAUACGGAGGGGGUUAGCGUUGUUCGGAAUUACUGGGCGUAAAGCGCACGUAGGCGGAUUAAUAAGUCAGGGGUGAAAUCCCGAGGCUCAACCUCGGAACUGCCUUUGAUACUGUUAAUCUUGAGUUCGAGAGAGGUGAGUGGAAUUCCGAGUGUAGAGGUGAAAUUCGUAGAUAUUCGGAGGAACACCAGUGGCGAAGGCGGCUCACUGGCUCGAUACUGACGC
rnacentral:rRNA from 1 species